UACGUAGGGGGCUAGCGUUGUCCGGAAUCAUUGGGCGUAAAGAGCGCGUAGGCGGCCAGAUAAGUCCGGUGUGAAAGUCAAAGGCUCAACCUUUGAAUGCCGCUGGAAACUGUCUGGCUAGAGUCCGGGAGGGGCGAGUGGAAUUCCUGGUGUAGCGGUGAAAUGCGCAGAUAUCAGGGGGAACACCAAUGGCGAAGGCAGCUCGCUGGAACGGUACUGACGCUGAGGCGCGAAAGCGUGGGGAGCAAACAGG
rnacentral:rRNA from 1 species